rnacentral:rRNA from 1 species
UACGUAGGGGGCAAGCGUUGUCCGGAAUCAUUGGGCGUAAAGCGCGCGUAGGCGGCCCGGUAAGUCCGCUGUAAAAGUCCAGGGCUCAACCCUGGAAAGCCGGUGGAUACUGUCGGGCUAGAGUCCGGAAGAGGCGAGUGGAAUUCCUGGUGUAGCGGUGGAAUGCGCAGAUAUCAGGAGGAACACCGGAUGGCGAAGGCAGCUCGCUGGGACGGUACUGACGCUGAGACGCGAAAGCGUGGGGAGCGAACAGG